GCAUGCAGGAAAAAUAGCCAAUAGGCCGCUGUCUUGAGCCAUGUUUCUGGGUAAGGACUCCGGAAGCAUGUCCUGACUUUUCAGAGACAAACAGAUUGAAAGGAAGCUGGUAGUUUGGGAGGCCCAAGGCAGGUGCAGAAGCAAUAGCUCUUUUUAGAUUGUGGAAACAGGUGAUAGUUUCUUCAGUGAGAUGAAAUGGCUCACUCCUGAGGGCAUCAUAGAGUGGCUGCAUGAGCUUUGAUGCUUCGGGUAUCCAGGACCUGCAGUAUGUGAUAAGACCCAAAAAGGCAUGAAGAGUCUGAUGUGUUGCAGGUAAAGGGAGUUGCAAAAUAGCUUGUACACGUUGAGAAGUUAGAUGUCUGGUGCCAUGGGAAAGACAAUGUCCCAAGAAGACCACAGAGGGCUGGCACCAUUGUAGCUUGGAUUUGGAAGCUUUGCAACCGGCUGCAGCGAGGAAACAUAGGAGAUCUUCUGAGUCACGUUCUGCAAUGAGCAAAUCAGGAGCACAGAGAAGGAGAUCAUCAACAUAUUGGAGCAGGACAACAUCUGAGUGAGAUUUCUGCCAGGGCUCCAGAACUAGAGACAUGGCAUGAGCAAACUGUGUGGGGGAAUUCUGGGCCCCCUGAGGCAUGACAGUCCAGGUGUGUUGUUGUCCUUCGUGGGUGAAGGCGAAAAGAAAACGGCAGGAAGGGUCAAGGGGCACACUGAAAAAGGCAUUGGCUAGAUCCACUACAGUGAAAAUUGUGGCAGUUGGUGGAACCUGGGACAAGAGAGUGUGUGGGUUUGGAACAAUAGCAGUGUCCUUUACGGUUACUUCAUUAACAGCACGGAGAUCCUGUACCAUUCGGUACUGGUCGGGUUGGCCUUUAACAGUUCUCUUUUUAACAGGGCUUCUGUGUGGUGUGUUACAUGGAGAUGUGCACUUGAUAAGGGCACCUUUGGCAAGUAGGCUUUCAACUUGUUUGGUGAUAGCUUCAGCUUGUGCUGGCUUCAGAGGAUACUGUGGCCUACGGGGAGGCAGUGCUCCAGGCAGGAGCUUGACCAAGACUGGGGGCACAUGCAAACGUCCGAUAUCAUCCGGGCCGGUGGACCAAAGUUCUUGGGGGAUACGAUCCAGAGCACUGGGGGUUUGUGAGACCCGUGCAUUCCCUGUAUUGUCAGCUAGGUUCAACAAGAUGGGGAGGGAACAGAGGACAGAGGUGUCUUUUUGUGAUAAGGGAGUUGUUAACUCGACCUGACCAUCAGCAGUAAAGGUAAUGGAUGCCUGGAGCCGAGAGAGAACAUCAGCACCUAGGAGGUUAAUGGGGCAAGUAGAGGAAACAACAAACCGGUAGAGAAUGUGUGAACCUACAUGCAGAAGUUUAGUAAGGGGGUUACUGCGGGGUGUACCAUCCACCCCAACACAGGAGACAUCGGUAUCAGAUAAGAAGGAAGGAUCUGGCAGGUCUUGUUCCCUGAGAACACUACUGGCUGCACCUGUGUCGACUAGAAAGGUAGUUGGAUGGCCCUCCACGGGGAGAACUACAGUAGCCAAGGGCCCUCCCCUAUCCCCCGCAGACACUGCCAUGGCAGGGGUUGCUGACACAGGCUUGCCAGUUACCUAUUGUAAUAAAUCUAAAUGGGCCUGAUCUGGUCCCUGGUACUGGCGGGAAGUGGAGGGAGGGUUACUAGAUUGCAUGGGAGGACGGGAUGGACGAUUAAUGUGGCGGGGCAGUGACUGACUCUCUUGGAAAUCACCUGUGUCAAACCCUUCAGCGGAAGCCGAAGUGUAUGCACGGGCCUCUGAUGUAGGGAGCCGGGCUU